rnacentral:misc_RNA from 1 species
GUGAAUCAUCAAAUCUUUGAACGCAAAUUGCACUCCCUUCGGAGAGUAUGCCUGUUUGAGGGUCAGCCUAUAAAAAAUCGACAUCGUUGCUGUUUCGCGGUGGCGUUCGUCGGAAAUUGGGUCAUCUUAAAUCUUUUGGUUUUAAGCGACUUAAAAUUUUCUUUUUGUUCCAAGAAAGGUUUCAAGAUUUUAUUUUUUACAAGUUUUAAGUAUUGGUUUUUUUUAGACGG